ACUCAAUAGAUACCCGGGUAGUCCACGCCCUAAACGAUGUCUACUAGUUGUUGGUGGAGUAAAAUCCAUGAGUAAACGCAGCUAAACGCGUGAAGUAGACCGCCUGGGGAGUACGGUCGCAAGAUUAAAACUCAAAGGAAUUGACGGGGGCCCGGCACAAGCGGUGGAUUAUGUGGAUUAAAUUCGAUGCAACGCGAAAAACCCUUAACCUGGCCUUGACAUGCCACUAACGAAGCAGAGAUGCAUUAGGUGCCCGUAACGGGAAAGUGGACACAGGUGCUGCAUGGCUGUCGUCAGCUCGUGUCGUGAGAUGUUGGGUUUAAAGUCCCGCAACGAGCGCAACCCUUGCCAUU
rnacentral:rRNA from 1 species